UACGGAGGGUGCAAGCGUUAUCCGGAUUUACUGGGUUUAAAGGGUGUGUAGGCGGGUCUUUAAGUCAGUGGUGAAAUCUCCGAGCUCAACUUGGAAACUGCCAUUGAUACUAUUGAUCUUGAAUUCUGUUGAGGUGGGCGGAAUAAGUCAUGUAGCGGUGAAAUGCAUAGAUAUGACUUAGAACACCAAUUGCGAAGGCAGCUCACUAAACAGAUAUUGACGCUGAGGCACGAAAGCGUGGGGAUCAAACAGGGAUUAAGAAACCCUGAGUAGUACCGUA
rnacentral:rRNA from 1 species